rnacentral:rRNA from 1 species
AUUGAACGCUGGCGGCAGGCCUAACACAUGCAAGUCGAGCGGAUGAAGGGAGCUGGCUCUUGGUUUCAGCGGCGGACGGGGGAGUAAUUCCUAGGAAUCUGCCUGGUUGUGGGGGAUAACGUCCGGAAAUGGGUGCUAAUACCGCAUGCUUCUUGAGGGAGAAAGUGGGGGUUCCUUGGACCUUACGUUAUCAGAUGAGCUUAGGUCAGAUUAGCUAGUUGGUGGGUGAAUGACCUACCAUGGCCAUGAUCCGUAACUGCUCUGAGCGGUUGAUGAGUCACAGUGGAACUAAGACACGGUCCAGACUCCUACGGGAGGCGGCAUUGGGAAAUUUUGGACAAUGGGGGAAGUCCUGCUCCAGCCCUGCGGCGUGGUUGAGGAAGGUUUUCGGAUUGUAAAACCCUUUAAGUUGGGAGGAAGGGCAGUAAGUUAAUAACUUGCUAUUUUGACGUUACCAACAGAAUAAGCACCGGCUAACUUCGUG